GGACCAUGGUGUACGAGUCCACGUCCCCCGGUGGCUUGUCCCACGAUGCCCGGAGCCUGCUGACCCCGGAGCUGCUCAGAGUGACGGCGCCCAGCGCCAUGGGAACUGGGACACGCGGGACACGGAGGCGUUGAGCGUCCCGCUCCUGGUUGUCACGGUGACGGUGUACAGCCUGCCGGGCACCAGCACGUUGAACGUGCACUCCCUGGUGUUUGGCUGCAGCUCCCUGGUAUCCAUGGUGACGCCGGCUACGACAAACAGGCGUCAAUCACAAUCAGAAAAUCAAUCAACUCGGACGAAAGUCGUCAAUUUAACGAUUAUGGAAGUAGCUGUCACGUGACCCGGAGGGGGCGUGGCUCCACAUGGCGCUGAGAGACGUCUCGUCCGAGUGCCGUAUGUGGAGGUCGUCCACGGCGGCCGGAGCUGAAGAGACGGACAACGGGAUUGUUGACGUAUUACACGUGUUUAUCUACCAACAAGGUGCAGCUACUGUAAUGCAUCUCCGCUGUGACGUAUGUACGCGUGUAUCUGACCUGUCG
ensembl:lncRNA